GGUCGAUUAGCUCAGUUGGUUAGAGCGUGGUGCUAAUAACGCCAAGGUCGCGAGUUCGACCCUCGUAUUGACCA